rnacentral:lncRNA from 1 species
CAGUCGGGAAGGUUCUAGGAAGGACCUGGUUCUCUCGGACUGUAGGUUUCCAACCCAUGGUUUUCAGGCCGACUGCAACAGAGCAGCCCCAACAUAGUGUGGUUGAGAUGAGGCAGGUGUGAUCCAGAUGUGAUCUCUUUGUAAUGGACAAGAGAACAUGAAGGUGCACUAGGGUGCCUUCUCAAGGGGCGGGAAGAUCAACAACACUCGCCAUUCAAGAGACGGAGGUGUAACGCUCUGAAUGUAGCAGUGGCAACACGGAGAGAUUUGAGUUCUAGAUCUAGGGCUCUCCCCUAAUGGAGGCCCUUUGCUAGAGGAUAGAGUCUAGGGGUGACCAGAAAGCUGGGGGCGUGGAUCAUUCCAAGUUUCCAGUCUCCUACCUGCACAGCCUCAGGACAGGGGAGCCCAGAAAAGGUGGUGUGUUGAAUAACAGUGAGGCUUGGUGAACUGGAUUCUCUGAUUUGCAACAAUCUGAUUUUGAAGCCAUCCACAUUUUGGAAGCCUCAGGCUCUUAGAGGCAGAGGUGCUCUUGAGGGAUUCCUGUGGGGAAGAGCACGGGCUGUGGCGCUGACGCCGGGCUGGCAGUAGAACCUGAC